UUUCAACAAAAAUAGAUAAAUAAAAUCAAAAUCGUUUAAUUGAAUAGUGACAUGUGGCACAUUAAUAAAACAAAAAAAAGUGAACGAAAUCAAAUGAAACAAUGCAGGCACGAAAUCUUAGAAAUAUAUUUUCUCCACUUUUAUGAAAACAAGACAAGCUCCUCCCCAAAUAUUCAUGAAUGUAUUCAUUUAGCAACAAAUAAACUCUCUCAUUUCGCAUGAAAAUUCAACGAAACAAACAUCCUAUCUCACUCUCUAUUCUCUCUCAGUUUUUAUUUUUUAAAGAUAUAUCAAACUAAAGCAGC
rnacentral:lncRNA from 1 species